AUACGGAGGGUGCAAGCGUUAAUCGGAAUUACUGGGCGUAAAGCGCGCGUAGGCGGUUUAGUAAGUCGGAUGUGAAAGCCCUGGGCUCAACCUGGGAAUUGCAUUCGAUGCUGCUGGACUAGAGUUUGGUAGAGGCAGGUAGAAUUCCUAGUGUAGCGGUGAAAUGCGUAGAUAUUAGGAGGAAUACCAGUGGCGAAGGCGGCCUGCUGGACCAAAACUGACGCUGAGGUACGAAAGCGUGGGGAGCAAACGGGAUUAGAAACCCCAGUAGUCC
rnacentral:rRNA from 1 species